rnacentral:rRNA from 1 species
AUUGAACGCUGGCGGCAGGCCUAACACAUGCAAGUCGAACGAGUGGCGGACGGGUGAGUAAUGUCUGGGAAACUGCCUGCUGGAGGGGGAUAACUACUGGAAACGGUAGCUAAUACCGCAUACCAUCAGAUGUGCCCAGAUGGGAUUUGCUAGUUGGGGGGGUAACGGCUCACCAAGGCGACGAUCCCUAGCUGGUCUGUGAGGAUGACCAGCCACCCUGGAACUGGGACACGGUCUAGACUCCUACGGGAGGCAGCAUUGGGGAAUAUUGCACAAUGGGCGCAAGCCUGAUGCAGCCAUGCCGCGUGUAUGAAGAAGGCCUUCGGGUUGUAAAGUACUUGCAGCGGGGAGGCGUUACCCGCAGAAGAAGCACCGGCUAACUCCGUGCCAGCAGCCGCGGUAAUUC